rnacentral:rRNA from 1 species
CCCUUAGAUGUCCUGGGCCGCACGCGCGCUACACUGAGUGUCUGAGAUACGAGUCUGCCUGGUCCGGCAAGGUCUAGGUAAUCGCUAAAAGACACAUCAUGCUUGGGAUAGAUUAUUGCAAAUAUUAAUCUUGAACGAGGAAUUCCUAGUAAACGCAAGUCAACAACUUGCAUUGAUUACGUCCCUGCCCUUUGUACACACCGCCCGUCGCUCCUACCGAUUGAGCAUCCCGGUGAAGACUCAAGAGAUGUGCGUGCGGCUGGUUUCCAGCUGCGCCGCGCGUCGAAUUUGUCUAAACCUUGAUGCUUAGAGGAAGGAGAAGUCGUAACA